rnacentral:ribozyme from 1 species
CAUUGUUGUAUUGGUACGCUGAAGAUUAAAUCGAUAUCGAAAGGCUUGCAUGAA